UCAAUUAAAAUUUUAAUUAAACGUUUAAACAUAUUUAGUGAUGAAUCCUACAUUUUAGUGUCUCAGUGUGUGAUAAAAAACGUAAAAGAUAGUGCUAAUAAAAUAAAGAAAAAAGACAUUGAUCAUGAUAUUGUUGCAGUUUUGUUGGUUAGUUUAGACGAACCGUCGUAGAUUAUAAGGUGUAAAUUUACUUUAUUAAUUUCAUGCACACGAUUAUGCAAAAGAGAAACUGUGUGGUCGUAUCAUUGACGGUACGUCUACAUCCAUACUUAAGCAGUUAUUAAUUAUUGUAAAUAUAAGUAAACCAUAAAGUAAUAUUCAACUAGA